AGUCUAUGACAGCAGGGAAGACUACAGAGUGUCUUUCAGGAUGUAAAAGCUGUCAUUUGUGCAUCCAAGGAAGGACUGUGCUAUGAAGGUACAGAAGAAGGACUUGCUAAUGCUGGGUGCCUCCCUGUGCUCUGCAAUGAGAUGCAGCAAAAUCCAGUCCUCAAGCCUCCUUCCUAAGAUCAGCAGAAAUCAUCAAUAGAAUUGUUUACUUCUACAAAAAUCCUAAAAAAGCUGUACAGACCACAACAACAAUGAACCUGGCUGCUGUUGGGAUGUGUGCACUGUGCCACGAUCCAUGUAGGGGCUCAUCCAGGACUGUGAUAGGGUUGCCAGCAUCAACAGGGAGAUCCCAAAGGAAUGGGUACCUCCUUGGUGCAAAACGAUGCUGGGAGAUCCUUCUAUUUUCAUAAUCGCUUUGGUUUCAUUAAAAUCCACUGGACAGGACUCCUGCAGCAGCAUUGCCACAGCUCAGGGAAAGGAUGUGGCUUCAUCAUGAGGAUUGCAACACAAAAUGUAAAUUCAAUUAGCACUAGGCUCAUGGAUUUGGGCUGGCAUCUUUGCUACAGCAGAAUUCACCAAUAUCUCUGAUGUUACAAGAAUAUAACAAAAACACUGAGAACCACUGAGGUGGAGGUGGAGCAGCAUUUAUCUCUAAAAAAAAAAAAUUUUCAAGGUAGUGAGUUGCUCUGUUCCAAAUAACCUGUGCUCUUUGGGUAAAACCAAUAUAGUAAUAUUCUCAUAUGACUUCAAAGCCUUCCUGAUUUUGAGACCCCAAAGCAGCACAGGCAUUUUAUAUGUCAAAUACCCACUAUGGCAACUGUGAAACUCAAUGCCACUUUGAUAUACAGCUGCUCUUGCCUUAGGGCUCAAGGCAGGAUAGCUUUACUAUAAAGGUGCCAGAUCCAGAAUCACAACUAACAUCUUGCACUUCCCACACCAGUGGUCCCUCGAGGCUUGAGGAAGAAACUGGGCUGUGAAUAACAAGGUAUCUGAACAGUUGGUGACUCACUAAAAGUCCAUGGUCUGAGAUAUUGAAAGUCUGCCAACAAUUUUAUCGUAGUUGUCAGUGAGAGGAAAGAUAAGAACAAAACCACAAAAUGUUGUUGAUUUUUAAAGGUCAGCAUACUUAUGGUUCAAAGUCACUGUGGAAGGAAUCUUCUGGUUUUUCACAGAGAUUUCACUGAGAAAGAGAUAACUAAAAAAAUGUGGAUUACCUGCUCUUAAUAUACCUAUAAAUUAGUGUUCUGAAUACAGGUAAACCUAGUCUAUCAGUGGUCCAAAUUUAACUACAUAUUCUUCUUUGUGUUUCCAAUGUUGAAUUAUCUUGAACUUCUAAACAUUUCUCAUCAAAGGAAUGCCAAAUUUAUGGAAAUAUUUGCUUGUGCAUUUUAUUGUCUCUCAUCCCAAAGGUGGUGUAAGGUAAGUUUGUGCAAUGGGAUUACCAGGAAGCAACCAAUGAACCACAUGUGCUUGUAGUUCAUCAUCUGUAUUGAGGAAGGUGGGAGAGCUCCAGGAGUUAACAGUUGUGUCUGAAAAUUGUGCUUUCUUUUUAUUGUAGUCUUACUCAUCUUUACCAAAUUGACAAAAUUGCAUUCAACUGGUUAAAAAAUACUGGUAAUUGUUUAGAUUAAUGCAUCUAAUAUCCCUGUGGGUUUCAUUUUACA